rnacentral:rRNA from 1 species
CCUGGCUCAGGAUGAACGCUGACAGAAUGCUUAACACAUGCAAGUCUACUUGAACUUCGGUUUGGGUGGCGGACGGGUGAGUAACGCGUAAAGAACUUGCCUCACAGUUAGGGACAACAUUUGGAAACGAAUGCUAAUACCUGAUAUUAUGAUUUUAGGGCAUCCUAAGAUUAUGAAAGCUAUAUGUGCUGUGAGAGAGCUUUGCGUCCCAUUAGCUAGUUGGAGAGGUAACGGCUCACCAAGGCGAUGAUGGGUAGCCGGCCUGAGAGGGUGAACGGCCACAAGGGGACUGAGACACGGCCCUUACUCCUACGG